ACACAGAGAUCAGUGCGGUAACCUGACACCGCAGUGUAGCAAUUAUAUCUACCGAGGCAGUCUGAAGGGCAAUUUGCAGUAAUUUCUGAUAAAACAGGCGAUAAUAUGUUUUAUGAACCCCAUCUGUCCCUGAUUUAUGUCAACAUAGAAAGUUAAUUCAAUGCGGAAUAUUUCAACAAUGGCAAAGGUAAUUUUUUUUAUUACUUCAUAGCUUGUUACUUAUAGUUUUUUAGUUUUUCUUACUUUAAUUAAUUUGAGAAAUAUGUAUUUGAUAUGUGUUUAAAGAACUUUGUUAAACAAUACAAUGCUACCAAUCUCUGACUUCAAAGUGUUUUAAUAACAUAACUGAUCAUCAUGGAGAAAGAUUUAUAUGCUAUUGAUCGUUAGAUUUUUAAUAUUGCGGUCUUACGCGAUAAGGAAAAAUAAUGUCAAAUAGUUUUAAACUCACUUCUAGGCUUCACUUGGAAUAGUGGUUGUUAAAGGACAUGUGUAUCCAAUAAUGAAUCCAUACUGUCUGCUUGGAAGUGCUGACGGCUGUGAUAUAAUAGUUAAAGACACGAUUCCGGCGCAUUUUCAAAUAGAGUUUAAUUCUGAGAAGCAGGCAUUCCUCAGAUGUUUCAAACCAGUUACUCUCGAUGGACAAGUCGUCAGCGGUGUGGCCCUUCUUCCCGAUGUUGCGGUCAUAUUAAUAAAUGGAAAAGAAUUCCAAUUUCUAAAACAGGUUCAGGGAACAGAGAAAAGAAUAAAACCGGUCGAGGAAGCUCUGAGGUUCGUUUUAGGACAACAUGAUCCUGAAGAUAUAUGCGAAAAAUAUAUCAACGACUUUAUAGGUCGAGGUGUUUUUUGCGAAAAAAAUGAUCAGAAAUGGAAAAUUCCUUGCGGAAUACCAUGGCGUUUUAUCCAAAGCUGACGACGUGAAGGACAAAGAUACAAACUACACAUAUUUCUUUGACUUUAAUGGUGUCAAGUACUGCAUUGAUGCCUCAGAGGAACCAAAACUGUAUCAACCAUCGUUAGGACGGCUAGUAAAUCAUGCAGACAAAAAACAACAGAGAAAUUCAAGAAUAACAGUCAUUGGUGUGAAUGGGGUUCCUCAUCUUGUACUGUUUGCGACUAGAUUUGACUUGUAAUGAAAACUGCGACGAUGGGUCAGUUCAGUCUCCUGUAGAACGCAGAAAGUGUGAAUACCAAAGGAAGGUCUGUAGUUCGAUUGGUCAUGAGAACAACAACAGUGGUGUAACAUCGGCUUCCAAACGCAAAGCAGAAUUUCCAGUACAAACAGGCAAAAAGAUCAAGGUCGUUUCUUGGACAGAGGAGCAGUUAGAGGUCAUGCAAAGGUCAUUCGCCAAAAUUCUCCGCUGCUUAAGAGUUCCUAACAAGGAGGAAUGCGAACAAGCAAGGAAAAUGAGAGCCUGUUGCUUUCUCGUGACUGGAAGAUCAUCAAAUUCCGUGUCCAUCAUGAAAUACAGAUUAAAGAAAAAAAUGAAGUCAGUCUGAAAAAAAAAUUAACAGAAAAAGAAACAUACGUUAAACUUGCAAUGAAAUCUUACAGACAUACAUUUUCAAAAUGUAAAAAUGUUUAUGUGUGUUUUCUUUUACAUAAAGUCCCAGACACUCGUUGAUGUAAAGUAUUGUUUUUGCUGGAUAUCCAUGUUAAGAGGUCAUGAAAUAUCGACAAAUUACUACCACGGGUUCGUUCAUGAAAAAAAUAAUAAAUUGACUAAAAUAAAGUAUUGUAGUUCUUCUACUGAGGUUGUCGUUCUUAAUGAAAGCUAUACCUCCCAAACAAUUCAU
rnacentral:misc_RNA from 1 species